UAAAGCUAUAUAUAUAGGGAUCACUCACAUUCACAUCAUUUUCUUCUGUGAGAGAGAGAAAGAGAGAGAGAGAGUUUCUUAACUAAAAUCUAUAUAUAUAUAUACAGGGAUCACUCACAUUCAAUAUCAUUUUAUGAGAGAGACAGAAGGUUAAUUUUAGGAGGAAUUGAAAAGCGUAGGGUAUUUUAUUUAACGUGGGAAAAAUGAAGUUCUGCAAGAAAUACGAGGAAUACAUGAAGGCGCAGGAAAAGAAGAAAUUGCCACGGGUUGGUUUCAAGAAACUCAAGAAAAUCUUGAAAAGAUGCAGAAAACAGCCUCAUUUGGAUGGAGCUUUGCUUGCUGAUCACAACAAUCAUAGCGAUGCCGCCUCUCACACUUGCCCACAGCAUUGCUCAGGUUACUUUAAUCUUCAAUUUAUUUUCUCACUUUUUUUUUUAAUAUUUUUAUCUUCUUGAAUUUGGGUGGUAUAUCUUUUCUUUUUUUCGAUUUUCCGUUUACGGUUUAAUAUUAGGUGAAAUUCGAUAGAAUUCUGUUGAUUUGAGCGUAGAUAAAUUUUCUGGUAUGUUUGGCUGAAAGCUGGCAGAUUCUUGUAUUGUGUUAGUGCAUCAUCGCUUCCUAAUAGUUAUUUCAAGUGGAAUUUAGAUAUGGGAGCAUUUCAAAAUUAGGACUUGGUUAUUCAAGAAACUCCAUUAGAUAGUUUGGUGAACUUGGGUGCUUGCUCACAUGUUGUAGGUGUAGUUGACAUUAGAAAAGCACAUAGCUUUCUUCAUAGCAAGGUAAUUCAUCAUCUUCCACUAUUGAUAAGAGACUACUCUUAAAUAUGCAAUACACCACCAAAGCAAAGAAUCUCAUCUUUAUGCAUUGUUAGUCAUUUACCAAAAUUGGGUGUGCUGUGUAGUUUGUGAUGGGACAUUCUUCCCUUCACUUCUUGAGGGAAAAUGUCUGCAGUAGUGGGAUUCUUCAACGCAAGAGCCCCAGAGAUUGCACGGGAUGGUGGGGGAAAAUUAUUUCUUUAGGUGGAAAUUCAAAUUGUGAGUGGUUCUUGAAUAAAUUGAGAGAAGAGUGGGGAAUGGAUCUAACACAAUCCUUUUGGGGUCAGAAAUGGGCUGGAGGAUAUACACUGAAGCUAGUAUUCCCAAGNUUCGAAAAUUACAUUCCAAUUUUACCCCUCUCCAGAUUUUGCCUUGAAAUGUCUUGCCACGUGUCACCAUCUUGAUGCGCCACAUGUCAUAAAUGUGUGGUCUAGAUUUGGAUCUACGGAUCUAUUAUAAGCAUAGGGAUCCACCGGAACCCAACCCUAUAUAUAUAUGUAUUUUUGUGUAUAUGCAUUAAAUACAUUUCAAUUUAAAAAAAAUAUUUUUUUAAAUAUUCAAAAUUUUUAUUUCUAUUUUACUAAUGCAUGUAUUUUAUCUUGAAAGUCCUCUGAUAUAUAUCACUUUCUUAGUAAGCGAUAUGUACAAAAUGUGUGAAAUACUACUCCCUCCGUCCACCAAUCAACUACCCAUUUGCCUUUAAAAUUUUGUCCAUCAAUUAACUACCUACUCUGCUUUUUGGACAUAUAUACCCUCCCUUACUUUUUAAAUUACAACAUUUUACCAAUUGGACCCACCACACUCUACCAUUACUUGUCUACUUAAUCCAAUUUUGAUGUUAAUUAAAUGGAGUAGGAUAUUUUAAAUUUCCAGUUUAUUUAUUUUCUGAAAAAUUUAUUUCCAAUUUAUUUAUUUUCGGAAUUUUCAGUAUAUUCAUUUAUUUAUUUUUGAAUUUUCAGUUUAUUUAUUUUCUAAAAAAUUUAUUUUUCCAAUUUUCUAGUUUAUUUAUUUAUUUAUUUAUUUUCUGAAAAUUUUAAUUCCAGUUUAUUUAUUUUCUGAAUUUUCAGUUUAUUUAUUUUCAAAUUUUAAGUUUAUUUAUUUUCUGAAUUUCAGUUUAUUUAUUUAUUUAAUUCCAGUUUAUUUAUUUUCUAGUUUAUUUAUUUUUCAAUUUUCAGUUUAUUUAUUUAUUUAUUUAUUUUCUGAAAAUUUUAAUUCCAGAUUAUUUAUUUUUGAAUUUUCAGAUUAUUUAUUUAUUUCCAGUUUAUUUAUUUUUCAAUUUUUAGUUCAUUUAUUUAUUUAUUUAUUUUCUGAAAAUUUUAAUUCCAGUUUAUUUAUCCAUUUAUUUGUUUCUAGUUUAUUUAUUUUCUGAAUUUUCAGUUUAUUUAUUUAUUUUCUAAAAAAUUUAAUUCUAGUUUAUUUAUUUUCUGAAUUUUCAGUUUAUUUAUUUUUGAAUUUUCAGUUUAUUUAUUUAUUUCCAGUUUAUUUAUUUUUCAAUUUUCAGUUUGUUUAUUUAUUUACUGAAAAUUUUAAUUCCAGUUUAUUUAUUCAUUUAUUUAUUUCCAGUUUAUUUAUUUUUCUGAAUUUUCAGUUUAUUUAUUUAUUUAAUUUUCAGUUUAUUUAUUUAUUUAAUUCCAUUUUAUUUAUUUUCUGAAUUUUCAGUUUAUUUAUUUAUUUUCGAACUUUAAGUUUAUUUAUUUUGUAAAAAAAAUAAUUUUCCAGAUUUUAAUUUAUUUAUUUAAUUCUAGUUUAUUUAUUUUCUAUAAAAAAUAAUUUUCCAGAUUUUAAUUUAUUUAUUUAUUUUCGAAUUUUCAGUUUAUUUAUUUAUUUAAUUCCAGUUUAUUUAUUUUCUGAAUUUUCAAUUUAUUUAUUUAUUUUUGAACUUUAAGUUUAUUUAUUUUCUAAAAAAAUUAUUUUCCAGUUUUUAUUUAAUUUAUUUAUUUAUUUUCGAAUUUUCAGUGUAUUUAUUUAUUUAUUUCCAGUUUAUUUAUUUUCAAAUUUUCAAUUUAUUUAUUUUCCAAUUUUCAGUAUAUUUAAUUAAAGAGUAAAAAAAGAAAGAAAUAGCUUAUAAAAAAAAUAAAAAAGAACACUUUAAUAAGUCAAGGCAUUAAAGUAAUGUCAAAUAGCUAAUGAAAGAUUAGCAAAAGUAAUCAAAAUAUAUUGACACUACCCUUUUAGUCUUUUACACCACUUUUACACCACCUUUUUCAGCUUUCUUAGUUUUCGUGCCGACCAUCAAAUGGGUAGUUGAUUGGUGGACGGAGGGAGUACAAGUUAGAGGUGAUAAAUUAGGAAAAUAAAUUUGAAUGCAUCACAAUUCACAAACAAACUGUCUCAAAUACCACCUUUUUUUUGGCUCCAGUUUGCGUGAACUUCUCAAUCAGAAAUUGACUUUUUCAGUGAUUUCUAUCCUUUAAUACACGUCAUUAAGCCGCACUUUACUGCUAACACGCUGAUUUCACACUUUGGCUCAUCAUAUAUUCAUAUGUACAUCCCAUAAAAAAAGAGAUAGAUUUUCCUACUAAAGCUAUAUAUAUAGGGAUCACUCACAUUCACACCAUUUUCUUCUGUGAGAGAGAGAGAGAGAAAGAGAGAGAGAGAGAGUUUACUUAACUAAAUCUCUAUAUAUAUAUAUAUACAGGGAUCACUCACAUUCAAUAUCAUUUUAUGAGAGAGACAGAAGGUUAAUUUUAGGAGGAAUUGAAAAGCGUAGGGUAUUUUAUUUAACGUGGGAAAAAUGAAGUUCUGCAAGAAAUACGAGGAAUACAUGAAGGCGCAGGAAAAAGAAGAAAUUGCCACGGGUUGGUUUCAAGAAACUCAAGAAAAUCUUGAAAAGAUGCAGAAAACAGCCUCAUUUGGAUGGAGCUUUGCUUGCUGAUCACAACAAUCAUAGCGAUGCCGCCUCUCACACUUGCCCACAGCAUUGCUCAGGUUACUUUAAUCUUCAAUUUAUUUUCUCUACUUUUUUUUUAAUAUUUUUAUCUUCUUGUAAUUUGGGUGGUAUAUUCUUUUCUUUUUUCGUCGAUUU
rnacentral:lncRNA from 1 species